rnacentral:rRNA from 1 species
CGGAUAACCGGCGAACGGGUGCGUAACACGUGAACAACCUCCCCUCGGUGGUGGGGGAGUAGCCGGGCUAACGCCCGGGUAAUACCGCAUACGUUCCUCUGGGGGAGUCCCUGGGGGAGGAAUGCUCCGGCGCACGGGGAGGGGUUCGCGGCCUAUCAGCUAGUUGGCGGGGUAAUGGCCCACCAAGGCGACGACGGGUAGCUGGUCUGAGAGGAUGGCCAGCCACAUUGGGACUGAGAGACGGCCCAG